rnacentral:lncRNA from 1 species
CAGGACAUGACUGCAUUUCUUGGGCAUGAGAACCUCCUAAAGCUGAGGAAAUCAUGCAAAUAAUUUCCAAGCCUGAAAUGUUCCAAGCUUACUGCACUGCUAAAGAGAAUAUCAGAAGUGUUACCACCUUAGUUUUGGAGAUGAGAAGAGAGCCUCUUUUGAGCGACUGCUAUGGGAAGAAAUUUCAACAAGAGCUGGGCAGAUCCAGGAUGACCCUUUCUUGGAGGAGGAGAUAUCAGAGCCCUAAGUCAGAGAACACCUGGUUCCCACAGGUUUCAACCGUCACCUACAUAUCUUAAAACACCUUGAACAUGGCUGAAUAAUGAGCUGCAGAAGGACAGAGAGAAAAG